GGGGGCGUAGCUCAGUUGGUUCGAGCGCCGGCCUGUCACGCCGGAGGCCGCGGGUUCAAGUCCCGUCGCUCCCG
rnacentral:tRNA from 1 species